GUUUGAGGACUACACACUUUAUGCCACCCCGCUUUAAGGACGGGUGGGCGGGCUGCGGCCAAGAUGACUGCCAUAGGCUACAGCAGGUGAAGGCGUGAGUUUGUUAGUUGGGUUUCCUUUAGGCUUCGCUUCAUUUUUGGUUGAACGCUGCCCCGUGCACGUAAGGUGCUGGUUGCGCGAUGGCUUUGUACGUUGCGGUGUGCCUUGGAGACGUUCCUCGCUAUUGAGUGUUAGAAACGUUUUACACACUCGCCGUGGCCCCUGGUGUUGAAGCCUCAGAGUCGGGGAGCCCGGGACCGGGGGACUUGAAGUUUUGUGCUUAGCGAAAGAAAGAGGUACCACUAAAGGUAGCGCCUGAGAAAUCAUCACCAAUCGCUACGGUGAAUGGAAGCAUUCGCAGCCAUGGCUGUUCAAAUUCAAGGAUACAAACCUUUAGGAAUUUGGGGGCCAGGACACUAUUUAGAUAUCUGUGUUUGGAUAGAUCUUAAUUUCUAAAACGUUGCCGAAGAAUGCACUGUUUUCUCACUUCACAAACGAAGGGCAUAUCUCUCUCCAGUUCUCCAUCUAGGAAACUCUGGGGCAACUGACACAACUGGAGAUGUAUAAAUAUUUUGAUUUCUCACUGUGUGUGACUUUUCUCCCACCCCGUGCUCCUGCUAUGAUGUGCCUAAGCAUCGUGGAGGAAAACCCUCUUUAUAAUUGAUGAUCUUCGGUGUCUGCUGCAGUAAUAGGAGGCUAUCACAACGAUGGAGCUGAGGUCUGGGAAAACAGUGACAACGUACGACGGCCACGUGCUCAAGCUUUGGGGCCUCAGGACCCUGCGCUGCGGAGUACGAGGCACUAGUGGACGAGAAUCUCGGCGCUCCCGGACAGCCCGCACGCCUCGGAUCUGCUGUGCCCCUGCGAGGGGGCCGGGCCGCGGGGUGGGGCGGCCAAGGCUGGAGGGGGCGGCGCGCCGCGAGGAUUUCAUCAUGCACACGGGCGCCGCUCCCCAACUCGCGCCGGCUAGGCUUCCUCUUCCUCAGCCACGCCAGAGCGGCCAUUCGGCGCCGCUGCCCCGGACAUAGGGACGCGUUUCUCCGCAAGCUCCUCCGCAAGCCCCUCCACUGGGAUCCCACGCACCGUGGCGCGCGGCCGGAGCAGGAAUUCGGUCCCCAGGCUCCGUCCCACGCAAAACCAGGAGUCCCUGAAAGGACCCUGGCAAGGGGCACCUUCUGCCACGGAGACCGCCCGCGGCAGGCAAACCCAGGCCUGGCCUUCCCCGGACGCGUGGGCCACCGGACACCACCCUGGCCAGGUCGGCGCGCGGGUCUGUGUGCGCGGGGCCACGCCGCGGUACCUAACCGAGCAGUGUGCAGCCCGGGCUCCCGACCGCGCACCCGGCAGGCAGGCGACGGGGCGGACACCCGCGCCGCUCGCAGGCUCUGCACGCCUCCCGGUUGCUCUUCCCAGCCACGGCACACCGAUCGCACCGGA